CCCCCGUCACGUGACAGUCCCGGGCCCAGUUCCGAGGGACGCGCGCCCGACAGCCAGUCACGUGUUCUGGCGCUGUCACCGACGUCUCGGACCUCAGUCUCGCGACGUCCCCGACACCUGGGUCUGAGCUGCGACCCUGCAGUUUGUACGAGGGUUGGAAGGGUACGCUGCCUACUCUCAGCCACGUACUGGGGAGACCCUGUAGAAUUCACCUUUUGCUUUAAUUUUGGGUUCCUAGCGCGUGGGCAAACUGAAGACUUACAUUUGGGGCUUUCAGCAUCGUGAGACCUUGAAAGUCAGAAAAUAAUGAGUCUACAGCGUCAGAGAACCGCAGGGUUUUGUAGGCAGAGAAUCUGGGGGUGGGAAGUGACCUCAGCCAAGGUGGCGCUUCACCCCCCCCCCCCCCCGCCCUCCGCGUCCUUCUGGCACAGCCUCUGACAGGUGGGCGGCCUACGCCCUGCUUGAGCACUGUAGUCCCGCUGAGCUCGCUACCUUCUGCGCGGCAAGAUGAUUUCAGAGCAGCUCAGACUGAGAAAAAUGUACUGUUACCUCCGCAGCCCUGCCUUAUACAACUGACGUCUGAGCAUGACUUGCUUUUCUUUAACGGAAUCCCCAGCACCGAAUUCAGUGGCUGUCGCAUAAUAGGCCCACACAGAAAAUUUGUUCCGAAUAUUGUUAGCCUUUCGUGUAUCUGAAACUAAAGCCCGUGGCUUCCUGUUCUUUAGGCGUCUUUCACUGUGCCGUUUCCCCAGCCUUGUCUCCCUGGACAUACGUUCACUUGACAUCUUUAUUGGGCACAUACUGCAGAACAGAUACUGUUUUAGGGGCUGGUAGCACACCAGGGACCAACAGACCAAAGCCCCAUGCACUCGUGGGGCUUCCGUUGUACAGAAGUCCCCCAAAGCAGGUGUCGGCACCCUCAGCAGUGUCAGCACAGCCAAAAAUGUGUAUUAGAUUUCCCUAGAGAAAAGUUCAGCAAGGGAAACAGCAGUCAGUCAGAUCUCUAGUAUGUUCUGGUUAAGAAGCCUGCGUUUCUGAGUCCGAGUUGCUGUGGACUUUUGGAGAAUCAUAUUUUGUCUCUGGACUUUGAUCUCUCAUGUCUCUACUUAGGGUGACUGCAGAAGAUCAGGGUGAUCUUUAGGACUGGAAACUGCCAACUGCCGUGUGAUCCCAAGGAAUGCAGUGUUCGUGGGUUCUCAGGAGGCCCGGUCUGCAUGCUGUGGUGCCCUGAAGAUGAUGUGGAGAAAACUGCCUGCUGUGGGGUCUGACUUUCAAGGUCUCCUGACGCUAACAGCCUCCAAAUCUUGGUCUGACAGCUUCUUCCUUGCUAAAGAUUGGAACUAAUGUUUCCCAGAGAAACCCUGUCUCAAAAAAACAAGAGCAAACAGAAUUACAAAACAAACCUUUAAUCACACCCAGAGACCACAAAUGAAAUAGUAAUGAGGGGGUUGGGGAUUUAGCUCAGUGGUAGAGCGCUUGCCUAGCAAGCGCAAGGCCCUGGGUUCGGUCCUCAGCUCUGGAAUAAUAAUAAUAAUAAUAAUAAUAAUAAUAAUGAGAUGCUUUAGGAGAAACACCAAAGACUCCACAGUGCAGCUGGAGAGUCCAAGCUGGCCUUGAACUCCAGAGAUCCUCCUACCUCUUGCUCCCAUGUGCUGGCAUUGAAUAGGCAAUUGGUGGCACUCCCCGUUGCUGAGUCCUGUGCUCCUCUUGGGCCCUUCAUAGCCUUGAAUCUUGGGUUGAGUAUAGUGGGUCUUGGAUGUGUAGGUGUUAGUGAGGUGUGUCUAUUCCUUCUGUUGUCUGAAGCUCAAACUCUGCAUGGUCCUGAGGCUGAGCAACCUGUCCCAUCCUCUCUACCUAUAGGUCUGAUCCCACCCAGCCCAGAGCCUGAUGACCCGGGCUGGGGUACCCACUCAUAACCGCUAUGACACAGGUUAUUAAACCUUUCUGCUUUAGUUCCAAUCUGGAAAAAAAUGAGAAGGAUAGCAUUAAACUCCUCUUGUUUCAUAAGGAUUAGAUAUAAGACACAAGAAUAGAAUGGUGGGCUGGAGAGAUGGCUCAGCAGUUAAGAGCACUGGCUGUUCUUCCAGAAGUCCUGAGUUCAAUUCCCAGUAACCACAUGGUGGCUCACAACCAUCUAUAAUGAGUUCUGGUGUGCAGGUGUACAUGCAGGCAGAACACUGUAUACAUGCUAAAGAAAUAAAUCCUUAAAAAAAAAUAAUAGAAUGGUGCCUGCUAUGAGCUAGCAUCGUGUGUUUGCUGUUGCUAGAUGGUGACGAGGAUGGUGACUGUUCCUCUGAGGCUCUCAGGAGCCCCAAGGUCUCUGCCAGAGUUUGCACUCUGCUGCUAGUUCAGGAUCUUCUUCCCUUUCCAUCUCCUGAGCCCCACUGUGCACCAGGUGCUAGGGUAGCAGUCUUGCCAAUCCUGCACGUCUUCUAUCUCCACUUGGAAACCUCUCAGGCCGUAUUUGGUUACCACUGGACUAUAAAGUCUGUAAGGACAGGAAUUUUCACCUGCCUUAUUCACUGCUGGGUCCCCUGCACACACUAGCUCCCCAUGAAUGGAUGAAUGAAAUUCUUUCUUGUGCAUUUAGUAUUUGUGUAUCAUUUAUAUGUGCGGAGCACCAAUAUAAACAUUUUACCAUUUUAAUUCAUUGAUCUGGGCAUGGUGACACAUACCUGUAAUCCCAGCACUCGAGGGGUAGAAGCAGGAGGAUGAGGAGGUCAAGGCCAGCCUCAGGUACUUAGUAACUUUGAGGCCAACCAAGGCUACAUGAAACCCAGUCUGAAAAAACAAAACAGAGUCUGCAUCGUAGCUGAGUUGGUAGAACACAUGAAACGUGCACAGCGUCCUGGGUUUUACCUCAGCACUGGGUAAACCAAGACCAUAGUUUGCACUUAUAAUCCCAGCACUCAGGAGGUGCAAAAAUUCAGGGUUAUCCUAAACUACAUGAGUUUGAGGUCAGCCUGGGCUACAAGAAAAAAUCUAAGAAAAACUAACAUUGGAAGCCACAGGAGAAUUCUAUGAGAUAGGGGCACUGUUACUGUCCUUCUUUUAAAGAACAGGAAACUGAGCCCGGCAAGGUGACACAUGACUUUAAUCUCAGCGCUCAGGGAGGCAAAGGCAGAUGGAUCUCUGUGAGUUUGAGGCCAGCCUGGUCUACAAUGCGAGUCCAGGACAGCCAAGGCUAUAUAGAGAAACCCUGUCUCCGGGAGAGAGAAAAAAAAGAGGAAACUGGAAUUGAGGUGCCCAAGGAUACAUGACUAGUAAGUGACUUUGUUAGGAUUUGAAGCUAGAAAAUAUGGCCCUGAAGUCUGUCCUGUGCUGAUCUUGUUGUCUGAGUUUCUGGCUAGUGGGGGAAGUAGGAUAUGGUGUCAGGUAGAAGGACUUUCCCCUGUCCUCCUUCAGGUGCCAUGGUUCUUUAGUUUGUUUCUGAUAGGAUCAUGUGGAGGGCAGGACGAGGGAGCUCCCUGUAGAGUGGAGGAUGGUUACGUGGAUUACAGAGAUGUGCCACCAUGCCCCUCGUUCUGCAGUGCUAGGGGCUGAGGCCAGGACUCCGUGAAUGUGAGGCGAGCACUCCACCAUUGAAUCUCACCCCUAGCCUCAGAGUCUGUGCCAUAACUAAGAUCACCAGCCAGGGACUGAGUUCAAGUCCCAGCAGUGCUAGAAGCCAGAAGGAAACGAGGGAGGGGAAAGAAAGGGAAGAAAAACAAGCCCGGUGUAGUGGCAUACGCCUGCAAUCCCAGCACUGAGGGAGUCAGGGGCAGGCAGAUCGGCCAGCCUGGUCUACAAAGCAAGUUCGGGACAGAGAACCCUGUCUCGAAACCCCCCAACACACACAUCAAAAAGAGGGGGAGGAGGAAAGGAAGAAGAAGAAAAAGGAAUGUUCCACUGUCCCCAGAGAUGUCACCUGUUGAUGCCCUACUUUUGAGUUGUCUCCAUGGAGGAGGGGACGGGCUGAGGGUGGGACCGGCCCUCCUCUGUGUUCAGGUUCUCUCUUCCACAUUUGCUAUGUUGAAACUGAGGCAGGUCUUAAUCUACUUCCCUCUCUGUCUGCUUCAUCUCUGGGAGCCAAGGAUAACGUCACCUCACUUAACAGCUUCUGCUCCCCUGCAGACAGUGCUCAGGCCGCAGCUUUCACAAGCCCACAGGCCAGAGAUGAGGAGUGGGUCUGGGGGUUAUCACUUGGCCACUCUCUAGAGGUCCGCCGCAGACCUCCCAUCCCUCAAAUCACCUGCACUGCUGUGCCUUCACCCAGCGGGCAUCUCUAGGGCUCCCCGUCCACAGCAUUAGCACCAGAGCUCUCCUGAGCUCCAGGCCUGGCAUCAAGACGCCUCUCAGCCUGAAGAACAAGCCACCAUUGAAGAGAUGGGAUGUGUACCUUAUUGAACAAAGUCUGUUAUGUUAAAAAUGUUACAAGAAAAGUGCAACUGGCCGAGCGCGGUGGUCCAGCUCUUCAGCCCCAGCACACGGGAGGCAGAGACUGGUGGAUCCCUGUGAGCUGGAGACCAGCCUGUGUAAUAAAGGCUCUGUCAAAGAAGACAGUGGAGAGGAGAGGGGGAAGAAGAGAAGAACACCCUUCAUAGCUGUGUAAAGAAAAUAAAACUUUGGCAUUACAGAAACACAAGCAAACUCAAGGACAAACUAGAGAGGGCGUUUGUAUUCUUACCACUGUACUGCUCGGAGAACUCCAAAAUACUGAUUUAAAAAAAAGACCAGUUUAAUGUUUA